UUACGGCCAUAUCAAGUUGAAACGCCUGUUCUCGAACGAUCACCGAAGUUAAGCAACGUGGAGCCUGGUUAGUAUCUCGAUGGUGACCGCUUGGGAAUACCAGGUGAUGUAAG